AGCUUUAAGAAAAAGAUUUAAAGUUAGGCCUGCCCAAUGUAAUUAAUAAUGAAUGGCCGCGGUACUUUGACCGUGCUAAGGUAGCGCAAUCAAUUGGUUUUUAAUUGGAGCCAGGUAUGAAUGGAGUCACGGGGUUUAACUGUCUCUUGGUUAAUUUAUUGAAGUUACUAUUUAGGUGAAAAAGCCUAAAACUAAAAGGGGGACGAGAAGACCCUUAGAAUUUUUCUUAUAGUAAGUGUAAUUAUAAUAGUUUUGUUGGGGCAACAAGGGAUUAUUAGUUAAAACAUCCCUAAUUUAUAUUGAGCGAUUUUUAUAAAUUUAAAUAAAUUACCUUAGGGAUAACAGCAUAAUUUUAUCAAUAAGUUUGUGACCUCGAUGUUGGACUAGGGAGCUAAAAGGCUAGCCGCUUUUUAGGUAGGUUCUGUUCGAACCAUAAUUCCU
rnacentral:rRNA from 1 species